GUGCCAGCCGCCGCGGUAAUACGGAGGGUGCGAGCGUUAAUCGGAAUUACUGGGCGUAAAGCGCACGUAGGCGGUUUGUUAAGCAAGAUGUGAAAGCCCAGGGCUCAACCUUGGAAUUGCAUUUUGAACUGGCAAGCUAGAGUUUUGAAGAGGGUGGUAGAAUUUCCAGUGUAGCGGUGAAAUGCGUAGAUAUUGGAAGGAAUACCAGUGGCGAAGGCGGCCACCUGGUCAAAAACUGACGCUGAGGAGCGAAAGCGUGGGGAGCAAACAGGAUUAGAAACCCGAGUAGUCC
rnacentral:rRNA from 1 species